rnacentral:lncRNA from 1 species
GUACUAUAAACAGUUUCGUAUAAAAAACUAGGGGUUAUUCCCCAACUAAAAAUAGACAUGGAGGGAAGUCCCUUUUUAUCAACAUAAUUGGUGAAAAAGUAUCAGGUUUCUUGUAUUUGGUUGUAAAGAUAUGUUAAUUAACUUCAAUUAAAGCAGGUUGAAUGAUUAAAAUAAUUUAAAAAAUUAGAUUAAAUAUACAUGUUUUGAGGGGAGACAACAC